rnacentral:rRNA from 1 species
CUGCAUUAGCUAGUUGGUAAGGUAACGGCUUACCAAGGCAACGAUGCAUAGCCGACCUGAGAGGGUGAUCGGCCACACUGGAACUGAGACACGGUCCAGACUCCUACGGGAGGCAGCAGUAGGGAAUCUUCCGCAAUGGGCGAAAGCCUGACGGAGCAACGCCGCGUGAGUGAUGAAGGUCUUCGGAUCGUAAAACUCUGUUAUUAGGGAAGAACAUAUGUGUAAGUAACUGUGCACAUCUUGACGGUACCUAAUCAGAAAGCCACGGCUAACUACGUGCCAGCAGCCGCGGUAAUACGUAGGUGGCAAGCGUUAUCCGGAAUUAUUGGGCGUAAAGCGCGCGUAGGCGGUUUUUUAAGUCUGAUGUGAAAGCCCACGGCUCAACCGUGGAGGGUCAUUGGAAACUGGAAAACUUGAGUGCAGAAGAGGAAAGUGGAAUUCCAUGUGUAGCGGUGAAAUGCGCAGAGAUAUGGAGGAACACCAGUGGCGAAGGCGACUUUCUGGUCUGUAACUGACGCUGAUGUGCGAAAGCGUGGGGAUCAAACAGGAUUAGAUACCCUGGUAGUCCACGCCGUAAACGAUGAGUGCUAAGUGUUAGGGGGUUUCCGCCCCUUAGUGCUGCAGCUAACGCAUUAAGCACUCCGCCUGGGGAGUACGACCGCAAGGUUGAAACUCAAAGGAAUUGACGGGGACCCGCACAAGCGGUGGAGCAUGUGGUUUAAUUCGAAGCAACGCGAAGAACCUUACCAAAUCUUGACAUCCUUUGACAACUCUAGAGAUAGAGCCUUCCCCUUCGGGGGACAAAGUGACAGGUGGUGCAUGGUUGUCGUCAGCUCGUGUCGUGAGAUGUUGGGUUAAGUCCCGCAACGAGCGCAACCCUUAAGCUUAGUUGCCAUCAUUAAGUUGGGCACUCUAAGUUGACUGCCGGUGACAAACCGGAGGAAGGUGGGGAUGACGUCAAAUCAUCAUGCCCCUUAUGAUUUGGGCUACACACGUGCUACAAUGGACAAUACAAAGGGCAGCGAAACCGCGAGGUCAAGCAAAUCCCAUAAAGUUGUUCUCAGUUCGGAUUGUAGUCUGCAACUCGACUACAUGAAGCUGGAAUCGCUAGUAAUCGUAGAUCAGCAUGCUACGGUGAAUACGUUCCCGGGUCUUGUACACACCGCCCGUCACACCACGAGAGUUUGUAACACCCGAAGCCGGUGGAGUAACCUUUUAGGAGCUAGCCGUCGAAGGUGGGACAAAUGAUUGGGGUGAAGUCGUAACAAGGUAGCCGUAUCGGAAGGUGCGGCUGGAUCACCU